AACGAACGCUGGCGGCAGGCCUAACACAUGCAAGUCGAGCGCACCUUCGGGUGAGCGGCGGACGGGUGAGUAACGCGUGGGAAUAUGCCCUUCUCUAAGGAAUAGCCUCGGGAAACUGAGAGUAAUACCUUAUACGCUCUUCGGGGGAAAGAUUUAUCGGAGAAGGAUUAGCCCGCGUUGGAUUAGGUAGUUGGUGAGGUAACGGCUCACCAAGCCGACGAUCCAUAGCUGGUUUGAGAGGAUGAUCAGCCACACUGGGACUGAGACCCGGCCCAG
rnacentral:rRNA from 1 species